rnacentral:rRNA from 1 species
AUUGAACGCUGGCGGUAUGCCUUACACAUGCAAGUCGAACGGCAGCGGGGGAGAAGCUUGCUUUUCCUGCCGGCGAGUGGCGUACGGGUGAGUAAUACAUCGGAACGUGCCCUGUAGUGGGGGAUAACUAGUCGAAAGAUUAGCUAAUACCGCAUACGACCUGAGGGUGAAAGUGGGGGACCGCAAGGCCUCAUGCUAUAGGAGCGGCCGAUGUCUGAUUAGCUAGUUGGUGGGGUAAAGGCCUACCAAGGCGACGAUCAGUAGCUGGUCUGAGAGGACGAUCAGCCACACUGGGACUGAGACACGGCCCAGACUCCUACGGGAGGCAGCAGUGGGGAAUUUUGGACAAUGGGCGAAAGCCUGAUCCAGCAAUGCCGCGUGUGUGAAGAAGGCCUUCGGGUUGUAAAGCACUUUUGUCCGGAAAGAAAUGGCUCUGGUUAAUACCUGGGGUCGAUGACGGUACCGGAAGAAUAAGGACCGGCUAACUACGUGCCAGCAGCCGCAGUAA